rnacentral:rRNA from 1 species
UUGAGCGGAGAUUAUGGAGCUUGCUUUAUAUAACUUAGCAGCGAACGGGUGAGUAACACGUAGAUAAUCUAUCCUAUACUGGGGGAUAGCCCGAUGAAAGUUGGAUUAAUACCGCAUAUAGCUAUAUAGUUGCAUGAUUAUGUAGUGAAAGAUUUAUUGGUAUAGGAGGAGUCUGCGGCACAUUAGCUAGUAGGUGAGGUAAAGGCUUACCUAGGCGACGAUGUGUAGCCGGUCUGAGAGGAUGAACGGCCACAAUGGAACUGAGACACGGUCCAUACUCCUACGGGAGGCAGCAGUGGGGAAUAUUGCACAAUGGGGGAAACCCUGAUGCAGCAACGCCGCGUGAGUGAAGAAGGUUUUCGGAUUGUAAAGCUCUGUUAGCAGGGAAGAGGAAGGACGGUACCUGCAGAGGAAGCCACGGCUAACUACGUGCCAGCAGCCGCGGUAAUACGUAGGUGGCAAGCGUUGUUCGGAAUAACUGGGCGUAAAGGAUGCGUAGGCGGUUAAACAAGUUAUAUGUUAAAUAUAUAGGCUUAACCUGUAGAAAGCAUAUAAAACUGUUUAACUAGAGUGCAGGAGAGGUAAGUGGAAUUCCUAGUGUAGCGGUGAAAUGCGUAGAGAUUAGGAAGAACACCAGUGGCGAAGGCGACUUACUGGACUGUAACUGACGCUGAGGCAUGAGAGCAUGGGGAGCAAACAGGAUUAGAUACCCUGGUAGUCCAUGCUGUAAACGAUGGGUACUAGGUGUGGGUUGUGAAUAACAAUUCGUGCCGUCGCAAACGCAAUAAGUACCCCGCCUGAGGAGUA